rnacentral:rRNA from 1 species
AGCUUGUUGGUGAGGUAAUGGCUCACCAAGGCGACGACGGGUAGCCGGCCUGAGAGGGCGACCGGCCACACUGGGACUGAGACACGGCCCAGACUCCUACGGGAGGCAGCAGUGGGGAAUAUUGCACAAUGGGCGAAAGCCUGAUGCAGCGACGCCGCGUGAGGGAUGACGGCCUUCGGGUUGUAAACCUCUUUCAGCAGGGAAGAAGCGAAAGUGACGGUACCUGCAGAAGAAGCGCCGGCUAACUACGUGCCAGCAGCCGCGGUAAUACGUAGGGCGCAAGCGUUGUCCGGAAUUAUUGGGCGUAAAGAGCUCGUAGGCGGCUUGUCACGUCGGGUGUGAAAGCCCGGGGCUUAACCCCGGGUCUGCAUCCGAUACGGGCAGGCUAGAGUGUGGUAGGGGAGAUCGGAAUUCCUGGUGUAGCGGUGAAAUGCGCAGAUAUCAGGAGGAACACCGGUGGCGAAGGCGGAUCUCUGGGCCAUUACUGACGCUGAGGAGCGAAAGCGUGGGGAGCGAACAGGAUUA